GCACACUCUGCCCUCCUCUUCUACUCUCUGCGUGCAAGAACAGAGAGAAAGCAAAACUCAUUACACAUUUCAUUCGUGAUUUAGGGUGAUUUAGAUUUGGAUUUUGAAUAUGCUGAAGUUGAAGAAAAGAUAGGCGAAGGUAUUAUUUCAUCAUUUUUUGGAGUCAUUUAGUGCUUCAGGAGUAGGAUUUGUGUAGCGAAGUGAACUACGAAGUUGAAGAUCAAGGUAAAAUAAUUCAUCUUAGUAGCAAACAAGGAGGAGAAGACGUGAUUGAAGAAAUUGUGUUUCCAUUUUCGCUGUCCCAUUUUGAGGUUGACGAGGUUCAUAUAGUACUGGCGACGGAUAUUUAUUGGAACUAUUUUGACGCUUAAUUGCAUUCGCAAGCACAUCCAUAUUGGAGCUAAGGUGAAAAAUAAAAAUGCACCAGUCAGGAACAAUUUUUCCCGCCUAUAUCUCCCGCCAUACUAUCCCGCUCCACUAUUUUGCUUAUGUUAGGCCGAAAUGAUUUUUUUUAAUAUUUUGGCUGAUGAAUACUGUGCAACCAUUGCCCGUCUUAGACAUUGAAAAAAAUAUAUUUUCAGGCAACGCUUUCCCCUCAAUAUUUUCCCGCAAACGCUUUCCCUCCAUAUGUUCCGCCACCCGUUUGCCGCCAACCCCUUCCCGCCAUAUCUUCCCGCCACUCGUUUCCCGCCAUAUGUUCCCGCCAACCCUUUCCCGCCAUACUGCACUCGUUCUUUCCCGCCAUUUUCUCCUCUCUAC